UACGGAGGGUGCAAGCGUUAGUCGGAAUUAUUGGGCGUAAAGGGUGCGUAGGCUGACAUGCAAGUCAGAUGUGAAAUCCCGAGGCUUAACCUCGGAGCGGCAUCUGAAACUGCAUGUCUAGUGGGAUGGCGGAGAAAACGGAAUUCCACGUGUAGCGGUGAAAUGCGUAGAUAUGUGGAAGAACACCUGUGGCGAAAGCGGUUUUCUAGCCUACCCCAGACGCUGAGGCACGAAAGCUAGGGGAGCAAAC
rnacentral:rRNA from 1 species